rnacentral:sRNA from 1 species
GCUGGGUGCAGUGGUGCACACUUGUAAUCCCAGCAACUUGGGAGGCUGAGGCAGAAGGAUCACAAGUUCAAAGCUAGCCUCGGCAACUCAGUGAGACCCUGUCUCUA